ensembl:snRNA U12 U12 minor spliceosomal RNA
AUACCUUAAACUUUUAAGUAAUGAAAAUAACGGUUCAAGGUGACUACCAAAUUCUCAUGCUAACGUAAGACGAAUUUUUGAGCUGGUAAAGGUCACCCUUAAGGUUACCUGCCUACUUUGUGGGAUGCCUGGGAGCUGUGAUUUUCCCC